GGGGCAGGAGGGAGCCUGGACUUUGGAGGAUGGGGAAGGCAGGCCAGGGCCCGGAGUGGGUGAAGACUUCUCAGGACUAGGCCAGCUGCCCUCCUGACCCUGCAGGACAGUGCCCAUCCCUGCAGAAGCCCAGUGGCCAAUUGAGGCAGGAGGAGCUCCAGACAACAGCAUGUGAGGCAGGCGUGGAUUUUGUGUACAAGACAAAGCUGGAAUCUGUGGAGGUCUCUGCCUCCAACCCUUACGUCUAUUACAACACGCAGCUCGAAGACAUCAUUAAGAGUGGUACGGACCCUGCCACACCCCUGGCCAUGAAGAAAUUCGUCUCCCAUGCCACUUGCCAUGACUCCCUGGGGUUGCAAGAACAGGAAUCGUACCUCAUCAUGGGCCAGACGUCAGACCUGUGGAGAAUCAAAUCUGAUUACAGCUAUGUUCUGGGCAAGGAGACGUUCCUCAUCCUUUGGCCAGCAGAUGGAGAUGCCAGCAAGAAAGAAUUGCGGGACCAACUGGAGGAAUUUUUGGAAUAUAUGCGCACCCACGGCUGCCAGUCCUGAGCCUCUUCUGCUUUCAGGGAGGUGUCAUCAGGCAGCUCUGGGCCACUGGGUUUAACCCCAAAUAAAGAGCACAGGAUAUGACACCCAAA
ensembl:lncRNA C3P1 complement component 3 precursor pseudogene